rnacentral:rRNA from 1 species
AGCAGUCGCCGCGGUAAUACAGAGGGUGCGAGCGUUAAUCGGAUUUACUGGGCGUAAAGCGUGCGUAGGCGGCUUCUUAAGUCGGAUGUGAAAUCCCUGAGCUUAACUUAGGAAUUGCAUUCGAUACUGGGAAGCUAGAGUAUGGGAGAGGAUGGUAGAAUUCCAGGUGUAGCGGUGAAAUGCGUAGAGAUCUGGAGGAAUACCGGUGGCGAAGGCGGCCCCCUGGACAAAGACUGACGCUCAGGUGCGAAAGCGUGGGGAGCAAACAGGAUUAGAUACCCCCGUAGUCCCUGUCUCUUAUAC